rnacentral:rRNA from 1 species
GACGAACGCUGGCGGCGUGCUUAACACAUGCAAGUCGAACGGAAAGGCCCUGCUUUUGUGGGGUGCUCGAGUGGCGAACGGGUGAGUAACACGUGAGUAACCUGCCCUUGACUUUGGGAUAACUUCAGGAAACUGGGGCUAAUACCGGAUAGGAGCUCCUGCUGCAUGGUGGGGGUUGGAAAGUUUCGGCGGUUGGGGAUGGACUCGCGGCUUAUCAGCUUGUUGGUGGGGUAGUGGCUUACCAAGGCUUUGACGGGUAGCCGGCCUGAGAGGGUGACCGGCCACAUUGGGACUGAGAGACGGCCCAGAGUCCUACGGGAGGCAGCGGUGGGGAAUAUUGCACAAUGGGCGGAAGCCUGAUGCAGCAACGCCGCGUGCGGGAUGACGGCCUUCGGGUUGUAAACCGCUUUCGCCUGUGACGAAGCGUGAGUGACGGUAAUGGGUAAAGAAGCACCGGCUAACUACGUG